rnacentral:rRNA from 1 species
UACAGAGGGUGCAAGCGUUAAUCGGAAUUACUGGGCGUAAAGCGAGCGUAGUCGGUUAUUUAAGUCGGGUGUGAAAGCCCCGGGCUCAACCUGGGAAUUGCAUUCGAUACUGGAUAGCUAGAGUUCGGCAGAGGGAAGCGGAAUUUCCGGUGUAGCGGUGAAAUGCGUAGAUAUCGGGAAGAACACCCGUGGCUAAGGCGGCUCUCUAGUACGGUACUGACGCUGAGACGCGAAAGCGUGGGGAGCGAACAGG